UUAAUUAAUAUAUUUUUAGAAAAUUAAUAAAUUCAGCUGGUUAAGUUUGUCACGUAAAUAUCUAUAGAGAUCCAGAAUAUUCAUUAAAUCUCGGCGUUUUUAAUCCCAAUAGAUUCUUACCAAAAAAUAUAUUUAAUGCAGGAUCAAGAAAUUGCAACGAUAACUAUUGCAUGCAGAAAUGAGAAAAAUAAAUAUAAUCAUGUUAUUUUUUUUUGUAGGUCGAAAAUUCUUAAUACUUGAUCUUAAACGAAUGGAAGCUUACAUAUUCUUUCCACAUUCCAUUUUCUCCAAAAUGAAAUAAAUUGGAACUACAAUUCCAGAUAGCCCGAAUAAUUCCACAACUUUAUCAACGUACAGUAAUGGCCACCUAAUGAACAUAAACAAUCCGUGAGAGAGCUUUCGAAAUAGAUACGCACCAAGAUCGAGAUUUAAAAAGGAUAACGAGCCACUCCUAAUGAACUCUCCUCAUCAAUAUAAUUUUAUCAAGCGACAGAAAAUUGGAUCAUACUGAAAGGAAAUUCAGCCGUAUUUUUUAUCUACUUCAUCGAAUAAAGUUCAUCGAAAUGAAGAAUAUUGAAUCGAACCGUUGACAUUCGAUUCACUCAGGUUUCUAGCCGACGAAGCUAAGGAUCAUACGAGAAAUUUCUUACAAAUCAAAUCAAUCAUUUGAAUUCAAAUCAUUCAAUGAAAAAGAAAAAAAUUGUACAGGUUAAAGAUUCGCUAAGCUGGAAAUGAAAAUUUGAUGUAUUGGUAAGAAGAUUUAUAAUUAAAAUAGAUCGGUUAGUAGCAUUAAAGAAAUUGAACUAAAA